GACGAACGCUGGCGGCGUGCUUAACACAUGCAAGUCGAACGAAGUGGCGAACGGGUGAGUAACGCGUAAUCAACCUGCCCUUCAGAGGGGGACAACAGUUGGAAACGACUGCUAAUACCGCAUACUGACUGAGUGGAUUGCGUCUGAUUGGCUCGUUGGAGGGGUAACGGCCCACCAGGGCGAUGAUCAGUAGCCGGUCUGAGAGGAAGAACGGCCACCUUGGGACGGAGACACGGCCCAGAAUCCGACGGGAGGCAGCAGUGGGGAAUCUUCCGAAAUGGACGACAGUCUGACGGCGCAACGCCGCGGGAGUGAGGACGGCCCUCGGGUUGGAAAGCUCUGUUAAUCGGGACGCGGUACCGGAAUAGAAAGCCACGGCUAACUACGUGCCAGCAGCCGCGGUAAUAC
rnacentral:rRNA from 1 species